AUGAAAGACAAAGAAAACCGGUUUCUGAACCACCACGGAUACAACCACCGCUUAGGACACGAUCAGAACCUCGUGCUCCACCGCCACCUCCUCCUCCUCUUCUAUCACCUUCGCCUCUGCGGCUUCCACCUAGGGAAACCAAAAGGCAGAGUUCUGAGCAUACUAGUCGAAAGGAUGAUUCUACAGCUGAUGCUUGGGAAAAAGCUGAACUAUCUAAGAUCAAAGCAAGGUAAGUAGUCUCAAUUCACAAAAACUUAUUUAUGUGUGUUAUUUACACUCACAUAUGUAUUACACAAGCAGGUAUGAGAAGUUAAACAGAAAGAUAGAUUUGUGGGAAGCGAAGAAAAGGGAAAAAGCUCGAAGGAAGCUGGACAUAUCUGAGGUUGAUAAUAUAAUGACUUUGUAUAAUCUAAUCUCAUAAUCAUUAUAUUAUAACUGGAUGAUAACUUGAGUUCAUUAUUCUCUAACAUGUUGGUACAUGAACAGCAGAGCGAACUAGAACAGAGGAGAAAGAGAGGUUUGCAGAGAUUUAGAGAAGACACAGAAUACAUUGAACAGAUUGCUGCUGGAGCCAGAGCUCAGGCGGAGAAAGACAGACAGAGCAAAGAGUUCAAGGUGAAGGAGAAGGCCGGUGUUAUCCGUAGUACCGGUAAACUCCCUGGAAAUGCAUGCUGUUUCUGACACUAAAACAAAGGAUUUCUGAUAACUGUAGCUAGCUAUAUGUAUGUAUGUGUGUGCGUGAGAGAUGAUAUGGGUUUUCAUUAAAAAGAAAGAAGAUCUUGAAAGCCAAAAGUGUAUGUUACAGAGAGCUCUCAAAGAUACUUUCUUAAACCAAAAUCAACACAACACUCAAAAGACAGCAAAUAUAGCAGCUUCAAUCACAACGUAAAUAGUAAAAAACAUGAUGCAGUUAAUAUGGACUUCUCAGUCACUAGAUCAACAGAAAAGGUUUCAUAAUCACAAUCAUUCCAUUCUUCUAGUGUUAAUUUGAUGGACCUCUUGAUUUGUUCCUAGAGGCGUUACUGAAAGGUAUCAUAAUCAUCAGCAGAUGUUUCUUUUCCAGUAAUUUAAGUGAUUAACAGAUUCCAUAGUUUCCACCAAAACUUCCAGUGAAACACUUGCUAACUAGUGAAGCUAUUCUAAGAACAUAAAUAAUGUCAAAAUUGGGCCACUAAUGUUGUGAGCUCAAUAACUUGCUUUUAGUACACUGUAUCGAGCUUAGUUUUCAAGCCCCAUCUAGUGUUAUUUUGGUUUUGUCUUUAUAAAAAGCUUGUAAUAUACACUACCGACAAAAUCAAGUGAUUGGAUUUAUCAUUAUCACCCAUCAAAGCUUCGACCGACAGUCUUUAAUGGAACACGAUAAUUCCAUGGAAGAUAUUUAUGUGAUAUUUCGUAUGAAUCAUAAUGACCACGUAAGAAAAUUUGUGAUCGAGAAGAGAACACCACAUUGGUCACACUGUAUGACAAUAACUGAUCACUAAUAAAUGUCUUUUUCGGCAACGACAGAAUGAUAUCAACUUUAGUUAGCCUAUCAUCAACGUCCAAAUAUAAACUUUUCUAACAUAGAGCAACAUUAUUAAGACAAAUAAUAUGAGUAUUAAACUCCAUAAACUAAAGUGGUGCUGUCAAAAAAAAGAAAAACUUAAAAGUGAUUAGAGUUUUAUUUAUUUAUUAAUAUUCAUAGUGAUAAAGAGAUUUUUAUCUCUUUCAAUUUAUGAAAUGUUUUCAUAAUAUUUUGUUGUCAAAUAUGGAGUAUUAUUUUAUUUUCAAUAACAAAAAAUUAUAAAUAAAUGAGUCGUUUUCACAUUUACGUCUACAAUCACAAUGUAUGUUAUUUAGAACAAUAAUUAUAGUGGCUUAAAAAUCAUUAAUGAAAGUAGAUAAUAGUAUACUUUUUCUUUUUCUUUGUGUGGCCAACAUAUCCAUUUUCUAGUCUAUAUAUACACAUAUCCAUCUCUUAACUCUUCCAUCCAAAAAAAACAAAACAAAAAAUUAUAUUCAAGAGAAAAAGGAAAAAAUGAAUUUCAUCUCCGAUCAGGUAAAGAAACUCUCAAGCUCAACACCAGAGGAGCCAGACCACAACAAGCCAGUCGAAGGAACCGAAACAGCUACAAGACCAGCUACCAACGCCGAGCUCAUGGCAAGUGCCAAGGUUGUAGCUGAAGCUGCUCAAGCCGCAGCUCGUAACGAAUCAGACAAACUCGACAAGGGUAAAGUCGCCGGAGCCUCUGCUGAUAUCUUAGACGCUGCCGAGAAAUACGGUAAGUUCGAUGAAAAGAGUAGCACUGGUCAGUACCUCGACAAGGCUGAGAAGUAUCUCAACGACUACGAGUCGUCACACUCCACCGGUGCUGGUGGUCCUCCUCCUCCGACGAGUCAGGCUGAGCCAGCAAGUCAGCCUGAGCCGGCGGCUAAGAAAGACGAUGAAGAGUCUGGUGGUGGGCUUGGAGGUUAUGCCAAGAUGGCUCAAGGUUUCUUGAAGUGAUUUGAUCUUUAAUUGUUGUUCAUCAUUUUCGUAAUAAUAAAUUAAAUAACUAGUAUCGUUUGUGACUAGUUUAUGUUGCUUCGUUUAUGUUUAUGGGGAGUGACGAGUGAGUGUAAUAACUUCUGGUGAUCAUGAAUCUAAUCCAUCUUUGUUGUGAUUAUGCUUAACUUAUUGGUGUUUACAAAACCAAAUCAAAAAAUGAUCAUCCUUUGGAUUCGAACUCGUUAGAUUCUAUAUCAUUAGGUUUCUAUGUAAAACUAGUGUUUCAUUUCUUAAUUCACUCAUUUAAUAGUGAGGUUUCUGGUAUUGCAAGUAUGCAACUACACUACUUUAAAAAUGUGUCAAAAUACUUAAUCAUACAACAACAAGAAAUGGACUUACAGAAACAGAGAGAAUACAUAUAUAGAAAUUAGUUGCAAUUACAGGACAUUGGUGUAUACUAAUCAAGAAUCUGUCAUAAAACAAACGCUUAGAGUUAUGAACAAUCCUCUCAGUCCCACACAAAAUCUGAUUACACCGUUCAUGUCUAUAUUCAGGCACAAAACCACUCAGUUCCACAAGUGUCACUCUUAUAUCUCCCCAAAACACAGAAUGACAGAAUCUCUUUCAACCCUAAACACUGAGUUGUGGAACAUAAUAUCAGGGAAUCUUCUUCCAUAGAUAAGCCUGUCUUUAAGGACCAUUCACUUCAGGCACACCACUUGAACACAACCUAUCUUUAACCACAUGAAUGUCUCCAUCUGGUGAACCUCCUAACCAAUCCUCUUCUUCUUACUAGUGAGUGCUUCAAACUCUUUGAUAUUGUUCCCUCAUGUAGCUGCAUUGCCUGAAAAUGGCUCUGUUGCUCCAAUUUUCCCUUACCAAACAUCACCAAAGUUUCAAAGAUGAUGACGUGUCGUGACAUGAGAUGAUUUUAAGUGUUUUAGGCAAAAAUAAAUAUAAAAAGAGGUCAAAGGGGAUAAAAUAUCUUUCUUCAUGUAUUCACCAAGCUAAAAAAAAUAAAAUUAGUCGAUGAAAAAUCUCUAUCACAAACGGUUCUCUUAUAUUAUAUCUCUCUCUAUACGAAAAAGUUUUGAAAAGAAUCGUACUAGUACAGUAAUCAUCUCAUGGUCACAACAAACAUUCCCAAAGUUCAAUAUCAUUGUCACGUGAAAGGCGCGUGUGAUGAUGAACGUUGGUUACUUGUAGUUGCAGUUGUAGUUGAAGCUGAAGGACAUCGUUGUCUUCUAGGCCUUCUUGUCAUCUUACCCCAACCUGCAAAGCUUCUAUCUUCUAAACACAUUUCAGUUUCACCAUUGUUGCUUUGAUUGCUCACAUGUUGUUGAACUGAGGGAGGAGGAGGAGCUGGAGCUGGAACCGGACAAUAGACCGGUUCAGCAGGGAUUGUUAUGGCUCGUCGUGGUCUUCCUCUUGAACCGGUUUUCUUCCUUGUUAAACCGGUUGGAGUCCAAGAUCUUCCUGUUGCUCUCAUGAACCCAUCAAACAUUUGAAUGUCUUCUGUUACUUCGUGUUUCGAAAGAGACAGAAGUCCAGGGAGAAUGUCUCUUUGGAAGUCUCGUCUCUGUUUCCCUUUUCUCGCGUUUCCUCUUCUCGGUCUUUGGCUUGUGACCAGAGCGGUUCCUGUAGUUUCCUCCAAUUUGAGGUUUUCAGGAACCAAUGGCUUAGGCAUAUACUCUUGUUCUGAGAUAUCAGGUAGUUGCAGGGUCAUUGACUCAAAGUAAUCAAUAUCUUCGAUAGAACGCGAUUGAUUCCUUGAAAAAGUAUCGAGCUUUUUGUCCAGAUUCUCUUUGUGAGUAUUUACUGUUUCUGCAAACCAGUGAAGGAUGAUGGUUUCAGAAACUUCUGACGAAGCAACAACUUCAACCUCUCUAUCUAGGCAAGCUGAAUAGAUGGCAACUAUUGUUUCUGCUGCUAAUUUUUCAAACUCAGGCGGUUUCUCUAGAGUUUUUUCCUCAAUUGAUUUUACUUCUGAUCGCUUUUCUCCAGAGAUAUUACCAUCUUCUUCUUCAUCAUCAGACUCAGGAACAGUUUCCAAAUCUAUCAUAGGAGCCUUUGAAUUCAGUCUUGAACUGGCAGGAACAGAGCAAUUUUCGCCUUCAUCAUCACUGCCCAAAAUGUUCAAAUCAAUCUGACACCUAUUACUAGCUGAAACCCUUGUCUCAGUCUGUUCCUCUGUUUGCUGAUCUUCAUCCCAAAGAGGAUCACACGGUUCGUUCAUGUCUAGCAUCCUAACGUAAUGGACUUUACCUUUCUCUACAUUGGAUUGAUCUUUAUAAGCCAAUCCAGGAAUUUCCUUGUUAGCAUCGAUCUUCUCAGUCACCGGAUUAUUGGAACAAGAACCAGACUUUAACCUCUCUAGCCACAUAAUAUUCUGAACUUUGUCUCCUGCCUCAUCUCUGAUAUCCAAUGGUUUCAAAGAAGAACUUGGAACAGCAUCAUUACUCUUCAGACUCCAUUUCCCAUCAGCUAACUCAGAGUUACAAACAGACUUGGGUUUAUUAAGCCAUGGUAAAGUAGCCAGGUGUUCUUCAUCCUUUCUGACUUCAACAACAGAAGUGUUUGAAAGUGUCACAUUUAAGUUCAAAUCCCUCACAAACUUCCUCUCCGAGCUGUAAUCACUUCUUCCUCCGUUAGGAUAAUUAUAGCCAGUCCCAGCGACUUUCGAUUUUGAUGAAGUGGAACACUCAUUGUAAAACAUAUUGUGGUUUAACCGACUGGAAUUCCCGCACCCUGAGUCAAAUCUAGAAUUGCUUUCAAACUGCAAUCUAUCUCCAAGAUACCCUUGCUUCUGAGCAUUACCAAUCAGUGUAUCAGACAUGUUUAGAACCGGAUAUCUCUGAGCUGAAGCAACUUUCUGAGGGAAUCCAAAGCUAGGAUUUUGCCAAGAAGAGUGCAAAUGGUUCCAGGAGACAGCAGAAUCUGGACGAAUAUAUGGAUACAAGGGGCGCUGUUGGUGAGAAGUUAAACUUGAAUCCAAGUGAUUUUGAUGAAUGACGGCUUCAUGACUACUAUUGGUAUCAGUAUCAGCCUCUAGGUCAAUAAACGUUCUUUCUCUCCAGACGACUGCCUUACUUGGUGGACCUGAAUUAGGUAAACUCAUAACUCUUUGUGAACUGUUCAUCAAAACUUGCAUAGGCUGAGACAAAGAAUCCAGUGGUUUAGCCGGUUGAAAAAAUGGAGCAGCAGACUUGUGUGUGCCAUUAUAAUGAUCUGCAGAUGGUAGAUUUCAAAUGAUAACAUCCGAAAAAAAAGUAAGAAACAUGUGUGACCAUAUAAGAAAAUCCAAGAAUGGCAUUCACAAGUUAAUAGAUCAUCUUACCAGUUCUUAGGGGUUGGUGUGACCAAACUUUUGGUUUGCCGUUCAAAUCUGGCUGCAGAGGGAUAACAGGAAUAUGCUCCCUUACACUACCUGAGUUUAGAGAUUUUCCGUAGUCACGAAUAUGGCCUUGAAACUCCCCAUUACGCAAGUCACGGGAGUGGCCAUAAGCAAAUUCGUUUGCUUCUUGAGCAUCAACUGGUUCAUUUAAGUCAGCCAAACCAUUGCUUCUACUAGACCCAUAGCCAAUUCUCACACCAUCUAUGCGAGAUUCAGUCUUCACAUCUCCAUUAGGAAGCUGACUCGAUGUACUGCAGACCCUGUGAUCCUUUAACUCAACAACUUCUUCAUUGUCAUCAAUGUACUCAUCAGCUGGAAGGCAAAGAUCUAUCAUCUUUCUUCUGAUUUUCGUCGGUCUAACCUCGGACACUUCAACACUUUUGGAACUAGCUCCAUUUUGCCAUGAAACUGGACCUUGAGAAUUGCUUCCUUUCAUGGGAGAAUGGCCAUUAUCCUCAACAACCGACAUGGAUGGUCUAUCGUAAACCGAGUUCGCCAAAGGGAAGCUAGGGAUUUUCCAUUUACGAACAUCAUCAUUCGUAGCUUGAGAAGAAAGUGAUGCCUCAAUCUGAACCCAUUCUUUAUUAAACUGUUUCCUUUUCAAUUCAUCCAUCAUAUCCUUCUGUGUCCUAUAUACCCGGUGAAGUUCCAAAACCUGGUUAAAAGGAUCAAAAUUCACAAAAUACAAUCAACCAAAAGCCAGAGGAACUGAUAAAAAGGUCACAGAGAAAAUCUUCCACUAAGUUAACCUGUGUCUUAAAAACAGCUUCGUGUUCGAGCAUUGUCCUUCUCACCACAUCUUUGUCAAACCCAAAUGUAGUCUGAGACGUGAACCCAUUAUUGUAGCAUUGAUCGUUGUUUGAUGCAGAGGUUUUAUUGUCACCGUAGAACAAUGGCCAUCUACAACCGUUAUUAGAUUCUUUGUUGAGAUCUCCCAUAGAAUGAUGAUAUCCACCAAAUAAGCUUUCACAGUGCACCUUUGUUCCCAUUCCUGCGCACAAAUAUCCAAACUUUAGUACCAAAGACUAACUAACACAAAUCUGAUUCAAUGACAUUGAAAUUGGCAACAAAAAACAAGCAUUAAUCACAUUUCCUCCAUAAAAACAAGAACUUUAGCUCCAUGAGCUCUAUCUAGUUAAAACCCAUUUUGAGAGUAGCUUCAAAUUCAUCAAAAAGUCAAACACAAAGCAAUUGUAAAAGUGAUAACACUAUCUAUAUAUAAAGCUAAGGGUUUUGACUCAAAACAGAUGAGUUCUAACGCCGACGAGUCAAAAUAGGAUCUUGAGUAAUCAAAGUUGGAAAUCUAAAGUUAGAUAACAAAGAAUCUGCAAAAAUCUUAGGACAAGAUUGUACCAAAUAGAAAUUAACAAAAAAAAACCAAGCUUUAAUCUAGGGAAAAUUAAGCAGAUGAAAUUGAAAUUAAAACAGAGUUUAUAAAAAUGAGAUUUUUAUUUUUGUUACCUCAAACCCACAUCUUCUUAUCGCCAACCUUGUCUCAAAACUUUCUCAGAAGAAGAAGCAAUUUAUAAAAAAAAUCUAUGAAUCAAAAGGAAAAAAGUAAGAAUUUUUUUCGAAUCUCUCUACUAAAGGGAAGAUUGAGAAACAAAAAAAAUAAAAUAAAGUGUUGGGGGGAGGGUAUAAGAGUUAUAGCGUAAACACCAUUAAUGGAAAUAAUUAGAUCGUCAUCUUCGAUCUAGCUGGGCCACUCUUCUCUCUCACCAAACUAACAAAAAGAAAAAUUGAGGAGAGGAAAAAGAAAUCUGCUUUAUAUUUAGCUUCUUCUUCUUCUUCUUGUAUGUGAGGGGGACGAUGAUGAUAAAGAAGGUUUAUAUUAUAGGAGAAGAGAAGAGAAGAUCCGAAAAUCAGAAGAAGAGAGAAAAUAAAAACAAAAAACGAGGGCUUUGGCUUUUGUACAGUGACAUGAAAUAAUUUGUCAACAUCCGGUCUUCUCUUCCCUUUUAUUCUCUGCUUUUUCUUCACCUUUUUUAGUUCUCUCUUCUUCUUCUUUUUUUUUUACCAUCUUGUAAUAACUAAUACUAAUAUUCUUCCAUUUUUAUUAUUAAGUACAUAUUAUUAUAGGAUAAAAAACAGGAUUUAUCAAUUAGUUUGACUCAUAAAAUUCUUGGUUCUAUUUUUUAGGGAUUAAAUGAUUUUUCAAGAUAAAUUUUAUUUUAUGCUUAAUUUGUUAUAUUUAUUUAAAUAUUUUAUGUUACCUUUUUAGUUUUUAGUUUUCAUUCCAUUUGAAAUAAAAUAAUCUACUACAUUGAGCAGUAGAAGUAAAUAAUUGGUGAAAUGUGGAAAUGGGUAUCUUCUAGGUUCUCUUCAUCUUUCUUUCUUGCUUUUUAAUGCUUUUAAGAGAUUAUAUAAUUACUAUAUUUUUGGCAAAUCUAGAAGGGAUAAAAAAAAAAAAAACUAUGAUGAUGUGUCAUCUUUAAAUGAAAAAUAAUGAAGCAAUUUAAACCAAGAUCAUUUAAAUAAUUACAUUUUAGUGGUUAUCGACUUAUCGUAAUGUUGGUGAAUGGUGAUGCUACCAAUUAAAUAUCGAAACGUGUUAGUUUUUGUAAAUAAAUUAGAUAUUUUAAAAAGGAAAUUACAAAGUCUUUAAAAGAGUAUUUAUUAAAAAAGUUUAUUCUAGAUGGAGUGUUCUUGAGGGUUUUCAGAUUUUGAAAAGUAUACAAAUACCAUUUUUAUAUAAAAAGCAAUUAAUGAUAUGAGUCAAAUGUUGUUUACAACGAGUAAUACUCUGUACAUGGUAACAUCACUAUAUCACAUAUAAUAAUAACAAUAAAAUACGAAAAAACUGAAAAUCCAAAACGAACAUGUCGUCACUCGUCAAGGAUAAAUAUGGUAAAUCCUUGCCCCAUUAAUUACGCAUCCUUUUGUUUAACACAUUUUUUCGGUUAGGCUUAGGCCUCAUUUUUUUUUUUAUAAUUAGGUCUCAUUUAGUUCAAAUAUAUAAAUUUAAAUAAAGUUGUAACUAAAUAAACUAUUGACAGCAAACAAAACGUGGGUCCCGCCAAAAAAUCUUUUCUUUUUCUAUAGCUCUAUCUCGUUGGCUACUGUUAAUGUGGAAUAUUUUUGCGUUUUGAUACUGAGGAAUUAGAAGUUUAGAUUUCUAUUAAAUAUUGGAUUGGUGAUUAAAGUUGAUAGCUCGGAUAUUGAUCGGAUCCAUGAGGAAUAACAACUAUGAAGUUAUAAAAUUAUAAGAUCCUAUAAAAAAAUUUUAAAAAGAUCUAGUCAUUCUACUUCUGGUAAUUUGUACCACACUAAAUGCCCAAAAACCUUGUGAUUUUUUUCUACUUUAGACGUUUAAUAUUUAUGAAAGAUGAAUGUAAUUUAAUCCAAGGGUCCAACACACAUAUAUUAUAUAAAUAUUAAUGAGAAAUUUGGCCCUUAAAAGUGUAUAAUUACCACCUUUUUUCCAUCGACGUGACCAAAAGUCUUUGCAAAACUGACCUGUAAAUAUAUAUGCACGAAAAAAAAGUUUAAAUAAUUUCGGUAUUAGACAUAUAGAAAAAAGGUUUGGUAUUCGGUAAAAAAAAAAACUAACAUACGGUCUUCGGCUGUUGUGUGGCAUAGCAUCAUUAUGUUUUGUCUCUUAUGUCACAAACCCACAUGGUUAAUUCCGUAUUGGUAUAUUUUUUUUAGGUACCAUCGGAAAUUUUCUGACCAUGUCUCAUUUCUUACUGUUCAUUUCCAAAAGCAAUAGUAAAAUGCAAGAAAAAUAAAUCCAACUAUACUAUAUAUGUCGUAAAUCUACAUUCAUUAUCUGAUAUCGUGAUAUAAUGUCAGUACAACUCUUUUCCAACAGAGUUUUUACCUAUUUUAAAACGUUUAUUAAAAAAAUUGUACGAAAAUGAAUCUGAAUUAUACCAAUCAAUAAAGAAAAUAACUUCAUAGAAAUGUUCGUAUAUUUUUAUAAUAAAUUGAACGGUCUGUAUUAUUAUAUACAUGCAUGUAUCAAUAGUUAUAUUAUGCUUUUAUAGGGAUCAAGAUAAGUUGGGAUAAUAGACCUUAAAAGUGGUCCAAAGUAUACUUUCGGAAAUGUCACUCUCAUCAGAAAAAAAAAAAAAAAUCAUCGAGAUUUAUAAAACUGAGUAUUAGUCAAGGGUCCUAUCAUACUUCUUAUGGUAUGUCCCACCAAAUUGAUUUCAUUGCGAAUCAAAUAGCAAAAAUAAUAAUUCUAUUAAAUAUAUUUAUUUUAUUUUAUUUUAUUUUUUUUCUAUUUUUUUUUCUAUUAAAUAUACACAUGCAACUUAUGCAACUAUCAAUUUCCUUUAGUAUUCUACGAAACAAAAUUAUAUAUUUGUUGUCACAAAGUUUAAAAAUUCCAACGUAUUUUAAAUGAAAAUUAUGAUGGUAAAAAAAAUAGAAUUAUUACUCUCACAUUAGUCAUUUACGUAAAUUAUCAAUGAAAAAUAUCUAUCACUUAAUAUUAAAAAAAAUUGUUAUUGAAAUUGAAAAAGUAAACUAUUUGCCACUCGUCUCCCACUAGCUCUCCUCCAUUCUCCUUUUACCAACAAAAAAAAAACUGUUUUAAAAUACCCUCUCGUCUUUAACGUCCAUUUAUUAAAUCUAUAUACUAGUAGUAUUAUUUUAUUGAAUGCGAAUUAAAUAAUUUCUCAUGAGUUAUGCAUAAAGAUAGUCCCUUUCGAAAAGUUUACAUCAAUUUUUGAAAAGCAUCAAAAACGUAGACAAACCACACUGUCCACACAAAGGAAUGAAUUUAAACACUUGAUUAUCGUAUUAUAGCCUGAAAAAGUAGAUUCCAUGAAAAUCUAUAGCUAAUCGAGAUCUGUUUUAAUUCGUUUUUUAUUUUUUAAUACCGAGCAAUGAUAAUUAUAGACAAACAAAUUUAGAGAAAAUUAAACUCCGAAUUAAUCAGAAUGGGUUGUGCAUUUAUACAAAUCUUGACGAAAUUUAAAAUUCAAAUGUAAAUGAUUCCAUCUACAUAAGAAAAGAAAAAACUACAUACAAAUCAUCAAUCUUGGACUAAUUAUGUGUGUUUGAUCAAAUAAUAUCUCCAGUGACGGAUUAAAGAAACAAAAAAAUCAUUUAACCAAUCCAUAACGGUACAAUGGUCAAUAGCUUAAAUAAUUUUAUCAAAAAAAAUUACAACAAGAUUCAAAUUAUCUUGCUAGGAUAAUUAACCGUAGUUAGGUUAGAUGGUAUAUAUACAUACUAGAUUUUAACCCGCGGUAUACCGCGAAAACAAUUUAUUUUUUAAAGUUAAUAUACAUAAAAGUUUGCAAAUUAUAUCUAUUAUAAAAUAUUUUUAUUUGAUAGUUUACAAUUGUUAUUAAGUAACAUCCUGCCAAACCCGUCCCGCCAACCCGUCCCGUAAAAAAAACAUUUAUUUUAUUAAUGUUGAUCUUAUUUAUGAUAUGUUUAUGAAUUAUUGUCUAAAUAUUUUGUAAUUUUGUAGUAAUUAAAUGCUAUCAAAUAUCUCUGCGGUUUGAUGUUUAUAAUCGAAUUGUUAUAGUCAUGGAAAAAAGCAAUAUCAAAAAUGAUAAUUUUGAAGUAAUUAAAUGAUAGUAAAUAUUUUGGAAGUUUUAUUUUAGUAACUAAUGUGGAGAGAUUCAGGGAAGAUUGUUAAAUGUCAAAUAUUUAUUUCGAAGAUUUUUUUUUUAAUUAUCAAAAACAAACAUUAAAAUCUAGUGGCAGCCAUUGUAAAUAAGUCAUAACUACAAGAUUUAUUUCACAAAAUAGCUGCAAAAAUGUAUAUAUAGAUUAAGUGUCUUUCGUAUAUUCAAAAAUUAGGAGUUUCAGUUUAGAAACUCUCGGUUUACACUCAGAAAAUCAUUCAAACCUAUUCAAAUGUAGAUUGAAUUAUUGAAUAGGUAUGUAAUUGAUUAUUUAAUUAUUGACUGUUUCUCCAUAAAAAAAUACUAUAAAUACAACUAUGUAUUAUAACUCCCUUUUUCCCCUGGAAUAAGACUGAUGAUAAGCCCAUUGACAAAUACAGAUUUUGGGCCUAAAUCACCCCAAAAAAAAAGAAAAGAAACAACCUCUCCAUUGCCUUUGUAGCAAUCAAAUUUCCUAAUAAGGGCAUAAUUAUAAUGAUACACAAUUAGUCUACACAAACGAGUGAGACAUUGAUGGUGUAACUCGUGUUCUACGAAGUGUGACUAUUUACAUUUGUUCAGCUUGAAGCUUAUUUAAUCCCUUUUAUUUUUCUUGUCGUGAAAAUCUAAUCACAGUAUCACACUACGUUUUUUUGUUUGUCCCAGCAGUUAAUAAACACACACAAAAAAAGCUUCGAUAUUUGGGAAUUUUUGUAGUUACUAGACAUUUUUACAAAUUAUUACUUAAUAUGUUCAUAUUAUUAAUUUCGUUAUGGUUUCUUUAUUUAAUUAAAUCGUUCACCGGCUUGUGUACGAAUGAUACUUGAUGCUAUAACUUGGAAUCUGAAAGAGCCAAUCACCGAAUUUUGUCGACAGGGACGAGAGAAAAAGGGAGAAAAAGAUGCUCUUUUUCUCGAAGGGUAAUUUGGUAAAUUAAUAAAUGGCAGAUGAUGUAAUUAACGUGGAAGUUAGGUGGUUUUAUUUGUCUGAAAAAAUGUAAGUUCGAAACGGAAUCCUAGAUUCGUGGACACAGAUCGUUAUGGGGAUUAGAGAGAGAAACAAAUGUUUUCUUUUUGUCUCCAGAAAAUAAGAGAGCCAUGAGUUACUCUCAUAUCUUAUACCCUUUUUACCCUUCUAUCUAGUUGUAGAUUUUUUUUAAUCAUUUCUUUAAUUAUUAAUUGCGUUAAAUUAAUUAUUGUUGGAAUAGAAAUAUUAUUUUGCAAUUUGCACCAAAAAAAUAUUAUUGUGCAAUUUACACCAAAUUAGCAAAAUAAAAUAAAAUUAUAGACCAAACUAAAUAAAUUUUGGUGCUAAGGAAUACCAACUUAUGUAGGUUGUCCUUUGAAUAGCCUGACCUAUGGUUGCUGGUUGCCUGGAUCCUAUAUAUGCCUAGUAUGUAUGCAUGAAAGCGUGUACAUUGUAACAAAAAGAUACAUGUAUUUUAUUUAUUAGAAUUUGAGAAAAUAAAUUGCAAGUUUAGAUAAAUAAAAUUAACUAAAACGAAUUAUAAAAGCCUAAUUAACGAGCAAAUUAUUCAGUGUUUAUGAUAUAUGAUCCAAAAAUCAACAUGCAUAAAAUGUUUUUUAUUUACUAGAAAUUGUUGUAUGAUGUGAUUGGAAAAUGGACGUAUUAAUUGUUUUGUAGUAUCUACGGUUCUUUAUGAAACAUUUUGUUCCAAUACUUUUUUUUUUUUGGAAAAUUUUGUUCCAAUGGUAAGUGGACACCAUAUCCAGAGUUCAAAGUUCCUUUUCAACAAUCUCUCCUCUUUUUUUUAAUGUUCUUUCAAAAAAUUGUUUUAAGAAUUUUACAUGUUGUAAAAAAAAGAUAAUUAAAGAUACAAUCCAUAAUUUACUAGAAUACAAUUACAACACGUAGUUAUUUCAAUUAUCAUCGGAUAUCUAUCUACACAGCUCUAUUUCAUAGAUUUUCCAUAAAUAUCAUUUAAUACACGUAGUUACAUUUUUUGUUUGUCUUAUACACGCACUUUCUAGAAUCAAACAAAUGCUUUCAGAAAACUUUAGUGAUUAAUUGAUCGUAGCCAAAUUCAUCUAGCAAAUUAGUAAUUACAGUUAUAAUACCAUUAUUUUGAAUAGUCAUUAUUUGUUGAAAAUAUCUUUAAUAAAUUUUGUUAACUUGGAGUUUAUAAAUUAUAAUCAUAAACGUUGUUUCGAUUUUUGUUACAGUUUUCUAACAAUGUUAAAUUUUCCAGUAUGUGUGUGACCCUACAAAAAUGGGAAUCAACAAGAAUCAAAAGGGCCCAUCAAAGUCUCCACCACCAAUCACCUGUGACCGCUCUCACACUUAACGAUGAUCUUUGUUGGAUUAACGGCGCGUGUAAUCUUGAUCCCAUCACGUGAACUUUCACGCUCAUAGACCCCACUGUUCCAACCUCAGCACCAUCAGUCCUAUUCGUCAAGAAGAUUUAAGGCCAUACGUAACAAAAGCAAGCUGAGAGAAACACAUCCUGUCAAUAAUCCUUGAGCUGGACUCUAAAAUUAGGCCCAUGAAACUUAAUGACAGCCAAAAAUAUUGUUUGCAUUAUGAAUUAAUUAUGGAUUUGCCACUUUUUUUAUGGCAUUUGUAGACUUUGAAUUUUUUUGAAUAGUUUGUGGAUUUUGUUUUUUUUCCUGAUUACAAAAGUAUGAUUUAACAUGCAUUUUAUUUGUUAUGUUUGGGUUUAGUCGGUUGUGGUUGUGGUUGUUCUUACAAUUUAGUUUUUUGAAUAAAGUACAUAUUUUUACCAAAAACAAAAUCUUAAAUACGUACAUUUUGAAAUGUUAAAAAUGACAUAUUCAUAAAAUUUUAGUAAAAAUGAUGAUUUUAAAAGAUCUCGAUGAAAAAUGACAAAACCAACAUUAAUCGCUUACAUUAUUCGUAAAAUUUAUCAUGUUUUCAAAGACAUGAAAACAUUGAUCUCUAUAUGACCGGAGAAAACAUUGAUCUCUCAUAUCAGAUCACGUGAUCGAACGGUGGAGAAACGCUCUCUACAAUAAGGCUUUAAAGCCCAUAAAACCCUUAAAUAUAUCAAAGCCCAAAAGAAACGCCUUUUGCGCUUUCCCGAUCGUGGUCAACUUCCUCUGUUACCAAAAAAUCUGUACCGCAAAAUCCUCGUCGAAGCUCGCUGCUGCAACCAUGUCCGACGAGGAGCAUCACUUUGAGUCCAGUGACGCCGGAGCGUCCAAAACCUACCCUCAACAAGCUGGAACCAUCCGUAAGAAUGGUUACAUCGUCAUCAAAAAUCGUCCCUGCAAGGUUUCGUUCUCAAACAUUUCUCCACUCUCUUCCUCUGAUCUUAUUAGAUCUGUUCAUUACUUAGAUUCCUCAGAUUCUUUUUUUUGUCACCUCCACGAUGUUCGACUGAUAUUUGUUCUUGUCAUCAUUGUUAAAUUCACAUUUUAUUGCACUUUUGUUUUAGCGAAAUUAUUAAAUUGGUCAUCUUCAGUUUUGUUCGAUUAGAUAAGUUUUAGGAUUUUUUCUUACACAAGUUACUGGAUCAGCUGCUAAAUGUCAUUUUGUGUCGCAGGUUGUUGAGGUUUCAACCUCGAAGACUGGCAAGCAUGGUCAUGCUAAAUGUCAUUUUGUAGCUAUUGAUAUCUUCACCAGCAAGAAACUCGAAGAUAUUGUUCCUUCUUCCCACAAUUGUGAUGUAUGUGAAAAAAGCUCCUUUGAUCACUUUCAUUUCUUGUUUGUUUCUUUCAAGUCCCAUUUGAGAUUUUGUUUUUGUUGAAUUGGGUUUCAGGUUCCUCAUGUCAACCGUACUGAUUAUCAGCUGAUUGACAUUUCUGAAGAUGGAUAUGUAUGUGUUCUUAAAUAGCACUUGUUCCUUUAUAUGGUUUAGUUACUUGUUCUGUUUUGUAAUCAUUUUGCAGGUCAGUUUGUUGACUGAUAACGGUAGUACCAAGGAUGACCUUAAGCUCCCUAAUGAUGACACUCUGCUCCAACAGGUUAAGUUUUGCAUGUUCAUCACAUUAAAUGUUGCUAGUUAAUUAAAAUCAACUCUAUGUCGAUUUCUGAAAAUGGAAGAAAAAGUGCAGAGUAAUGAGUGACCUGAUUGUGUUAAUGAAACAGAUCAAGAGUGGGUUUGAUGAUGGAAAAGAUCUAGUGGUGAGUGUGAUGUCAGCUAUGGGAGAGGAACAGAUCAAUGCUCUUAAGGACAUCGGUCCCAAGUGAGACUAACAAAGCCUCCCCUUUGUUAUGAGAUUCUUCUUCUUCUUCUGUAGGCUUCCAUUACUCAUCGGAGAUUAUCUUGUUUUUGGGUGACUCCUAUUUUGGAUAUUUAAACUUUUGUUAAUAAUGCCAUCUUCUUCAACCUUUUCCUUCUAGAUGGUUUUUAUACUUCUUCUAAUUGAUUGAUUCUUUAUGGUUGUCCAAGUGUCAAAGUGUUCCACCCAUAUGAUUCUAACCUUUUGAUGAGCGAAGUCUUUACUCGUGCGUUAUGUAGAGACGUAGAAGCAAUACCACAAAAGAGUAUAAUUAUAGAUAUAUGCUAACAAAACUCAAAAGUUAAGAUCAGUUUAGUAUUCAAAAUUGAACAGUAAAAGGUUAAAAAAAAUAUGUAUACUUAUGAAAAUAACUAAAUUCAUAGAUAAUCUUUUAAAAUUCAGAGUUUCUUUUUCUUAUAUCAAAUUCAAAAUGAAAACACAAACUAAAAUAAACAACGACACAUAUCAUAAGGUCUUUUAUAUUUUGUAUUAGAUCAAAACUAUUAUUGCAAUCACAUUUCUUGUGGUAAUAAAUGAAAGGAAUUCUACUCCUAAAGCCAACGUGUGUCCCACACAAAGUAAGAAGAAUGUUUAUAUUAUCUUUUGCUCUUGCAAAGUCAAAUGUAUCUUCAAAAAGUCAUGUUGCUAGUUUUCUUUUAUUCCCCUCACGUCAUCACGGUUCCUCCUCCUAUUACAAAUAUACACACCCAAAAAGUCCACUAACAUGAAAUGCUAAAGUUAAUUUUAGAAAUCCAUUGCUUUCACGUGAAAAAAAAAACUAUUACAGAAAUAACAUGUAUUUAUACAGUUUACUAAUAGUCAUCAACUCAUCAUAUAUGGUAUAAAUAUUUGUCGAAAAACAGCUCUCAUGAUAUGUGUAGGCUUAUAUUCGACAGCCCAUUAAGACACAAAAUGGGCCUUUUAAAAGGAAUGUCAGUUGUCAAUAUCUGAUUCGUACAACGUGGAGUAGCUGUGGCCUUGUCCGGUUGUCUCUCUCUGCCUCUUCGCUCCAGGUUCACCGUACAAUAAUAACAAAGACCGACGCUUUUGUAAAAGUGAAACCUAAAUUGAUAACCAAAUAAUUUGAUCAAUUUGGUACAACUUUUGUUUUGACUGAUGUUCAGAUUUUCUUUUCUUCUUAAUUGGUAUAGUUUUAUUUUCUUUUUAAAAUGUUUGGAUUUGUAAUUCAUUUAGCAUUCCAUUCUAAUAAGAUUUAUCUUUUUCUUUUUAAUUAUCUCUUUACAUGAUACUACUAUACUAUUUGUUUAAACAAAAAAUAUAGAUAUACAUGCAUAUUCCAUAUUUAAUUAAUGGGAUCGAAAUUCAACAUUAAAUUAAUGUACCUGUAAAAAAUUAAAUGUACAAAACGACAGAAAAACUCAAAAAAGCAGAUUUUAAACGUUAUAUUUUCCAAUUUUCUACUGCCUCCUGAAAAAUUGGAUUUGGACAUGUCUGAACAUUACUCAAAAUAAAUAAAUUUAGCUAGUUUUUGAAAUAAGAAAACAUAGUAAGUACCGUUUUGAAGGAGAAAAAACAAAUAAAGUACUUUUUACACACGAAAAAAAAGAAAGUAAAGGAAAGAGCUUGUUUCACAUAUAUCUGCAGCGUGGACUUUCUCUACUGCGAACCCAAAAAGUUUUUUAAUCUUUUUAUGUUUCCAGAUCCGUUUUAAGACCAGAAGUACAAAAAAAAAAAAGAAACUCGAAAUCUCCAUUAAAAGAGCCUAUCGAUAAUAAAAAGAAAAACAAAACGGCAAAAAAGUGAAGCGAAACACGACACGGAUUCACACAAUACUCAGAUAUAUACAAAAAGGAUUUUAGAUUUUGAUUCAGAACCAAAAAUAAAAAAAGGAACUUUUUUAUUUCUUUGUUUGAUUUUUUGGGUUGUUGGUUUUUUUUUUGUUUGUUAAUUUUGGGGAUCGAUGUCGGAAAAGGAAGAAGCUCCGUCGACAUCGAAGUCCACCGGAGCUCCGUCGCGUCCGACUUUAUCUCUUCCUCCACGGCCGUUUAGUGAGAUGUUCUUUAACGGUGGCGUUGGAUUCAGUCCUGGUCCGAUGACUCUGGUCUCUAAUAUGUUCCCUGAUUCCGAUGAGUUUAGGUCUUUCUCUCAGCUUCUCGCUGGAGCCAUGUCUUCUCCAGCGACUGCAGCUGCUGCUGCUGCUGCUGCGACGGCUAGUGAUUACCAGAGACUUGGUGAAGGGACUAAUAGCUCUAGUGGUGAUGUUGACCCGAGAUUCAAGCAAAACAGACCAACCGGUUUGAUGAUUUCUCAAUCUCAAUCGCCGUCGAUGUUCACCGUACCGCCUGGUUUAAGUCCAGCUAUGUUGCUCGAUUCACCAAGCUUUUUGGGUCUUUUCUCUCCCGUUCAGGUUUUUAGAUUCAUCAACACAAAUUUCUAUCUUUUUUUUUUUUGGUUAAAAAUUUGAAAAUCUAUUUAUGGAAACUGUAUGUUUGUGUCUUUUCUUUGUUGAGCUGUUUCUUGUUUUUGUUUUGUUGGCUGCUUAGGGAAAAAAUAACACGUUGUUGUUAGGUGUUAGCAAAUCUAGGUUUAUUCCAACAAAUUGUAGAUUUUGUAACCAUUUUGCUGGUAUCAUCUUAGGUCAAAAUUGGAGAUUAGGAUUGAGUUAGGGCUUAUUAGAGAUUUGAGAAUUUCUCCUCAAGGAAGGAACUUUGCAACUCAACUGUGUUGGAAAGGUAGGAACUUUCAGACAGAACAAAAGGAGAUUGUGGAUCAAAUACUCGUAGAGAUUUGGGUUUGUUCAAGGUUUUUAUAGAAAUCCUCAGGAAGAUUUCUUGGUGCCACAUCCGAAAAAUCCUGUUCUUAUGACCUUAUAUGUUUUGAUUAUGGAACUCUGUUUUCUUUAGUAGAAAUUGUUCCUUUAGACAGGCCUUUGCUAUAUUCUCUUUUGAUAGGGUUGUCUUGUUUAAGGUCUCUGGCUCUGCUUUAUCUUGACUCUGAAUCUGUUGAAUCUGUCUUUACCUAUUUUGAUGUGUGCUUUGAUUUGUUUUAGCGGUUCUUGACCUGAUAUGUAACAUUGUGCAGGGAUCAUAUGGAAUGACACAUCAGCAAGCUCUAGCUCAAGUCACUGCUCAAGCAGUUCAAGCCAAUGCCAAUAUGCAACCACAAACAGAGUACCCUCCUCCCUCUCAAGUUCAAUCAUUUUCAUCGGGUCAAGCGCAGAUCCCGACCUCGGCUCCACUACCAGCUCAAAGAGAAACCUCAGAUGUAACCAUCAUAGAGCACAGGUCACAACAGCCUCUAAAUGUUGACAAACCAGCUGAUGAUGGCUAUAACUGGCGAAAAUAUGGGCAAAAGCAAGUUAAAGGUAGCGAGUUUCCACGAAGCUAUUACAAGUGUACUAAUCCAGGAUGUCCUGUCAAGAAGAAGGUUGAGAGAUCUCUUGAUGGACAAGUAACGGAGAUUAUCUACAAAGGUCAGCACAAUCAUGAACCUCCUCAAAACACUAAGCGAGGUAACAAAGAUAACACCGCGAAUAUAAAUGGGAGUUCGAUAAAUAACAAUCGCGGGAGUUCUGAAUUGGGGGCAUCACAGUUUCAAACUAAUAGCUCCAACAAGACUAAGAGAGAGCAACAUGAAGCAGUAAGUCAAGCUACGACAACAGAGCACUUGUCUGAGGCAAGUGACGGUGAAGAAGUUGGUAAUGGAGAAACUGAUGUGAGAGAGAAAGAUGAGAAUGAGCCUGAUCCCAAGAGAAGGUAAAGUUAUAAGCUCUGUUGAUGGUUGAUGAUAAUCCAUAUUUUUCGUUUUUUUUGAUCAGAGAGAUGUUUGAAUGUGCAGAAGUACAGAAGUUCGGAUUUCAGAACCAGCUCCUGCUGCUUCACAUAGAACUGUGACAGAGCCUAGAAUUAUUGUCCAAACGACGAGUGAAGUUGAUCUUCUAGAUGAUGGAUAUAGGUGGCGUAAAUAUGGACAGAAAGUUGUCAAAGGGAAUCCUUAUCCGAGGUAAAACACGUUACAACAUUGGUUGGUCUAGCUAUUACACUCUUUGAAUGGCGGAUUCUAGUGAUCGAUAUAUUUUUAUGUAUUGAAACAUUCUUGUUUAAUGUUCUCUCUUGAUCCUUAGGAGCUACUACAAGUGCACAACACCAGGAUGUGGUGUGAGGAAACAUGUAGAGAGAGCAGCAACAGAUCCAAAAGCUGUAGUAACAACAUAUGAAGGAAAACAUAACCAUGACCUUCCCGCUGCUAAAUCAAGCAGCCAUGCCGCUGCAGCGGCACAGUUAAGGCCAGAUAAUCGACCUGGCGGUUUGGCUAACUUAAAUCAACAGCAGCAGCAACAGCCCGUUGCGCGGCUAAGGCUUAAAGAAGAGCAAACAACUUGAGAGAAGAAAACUCUUGACCGUUUUUCAUUACAAAAGCUUUCAAAUUCCACUCACACACUUGUCUGAAAAAUCUAGCAGUUUGCAGGAAAGAAACAGCUUCAAGAGGUUGUAGUUCUUCUAUGUUCUGGUGUAAAACUUAAAAGCUUUUUAGGGUUUUCAGAUUUCUGUUUACUAAUACUGUAUGUGAAUUCUUUUGUACAUGAGGAAGAAAAUUACAGGGGGAUAUUUUGUGUUGUAUCUUUUGUGUUAUUGUUUCAGUAAAAGAUAGGUCUUACAUUUUGUGUAUGAAAAUGAAAGUAUUUGUUGUAAUAUCAAACUUUUUUCUUUUGUUUAUUAUUACACUAUUAUAAUACAUAAUGGCCUAUGACCCAAAUUUUCUUGCUAUUUGUUCAUCUUUCGUAGUCAGUCAUUGGUUAAUGAAAUAUACAGAGCAAUUGUUGUUUUGUUAUGGGUUUUGAAUAAUGGAGUGAAGAAAUUAUGACAUUUGUACAAAUGAAUCUUUUUCAUGAGAUUAAUAAAUUCCCGAGCAAAUCUUGUUUCCAAAAAAGACAAUUGAAUUUUAUCUUCUUCUUUUGUCUCUCAACAAUACAAAUAUGUGAAAACGUUCUCUGUUUUUGCUUUUUGUCUUUUUUUGCUCUCCCCAUUGAUUGAUUGAUUGAUCUUUGUCUCUCUCUCUGUGUUAUUAUGUAGUGAUCACUUCAUUGUUUGUUAGUUAAAAGCGUUGGAAUUUGUCCGUGAUUCACGAAAUCAAUCUUGUUCAGCCUGACACAACACAGUACUUGCUCUGGAAGUUCCUCUGGUGAUUGAGCCUGUGUCAGAAAGAAACAAAAUGUUUUACUUGAGCUACACUCUAACAAAGAAUGACCUACUACUACCAACCAAAAGUUUGGGAGAUUUUUCAAGUACCUGAAUUGUUAAUCCCAAAUCAAGAAUCCCGUUCUUGAUACGAUCCCUGAAAGAUUCGAGUCCUUUCCUCGAAAUGUAACUGAAUCUGUGUAUAUCCAAAUCUAUCUCAAAGUAGUUUGGUCCCUAUCCAAAUGAUCAAUAACAUUAACCACAAGGCUAUGGAACUGAAUUAUCUGGUGUAUCAUUGAAAACUAAAGAAAGAUCUGUAUUUCUAACCUGAAAGAAAUCGUGUUGCGGACGAGAAAGAACCGGUCUAUCGUUGUAAGCUGUGAUAAGUUUUCUCUCAGUAGAACUUAGCUGGAAAUCCUCAGGAUUUACCAAACCUGCCAUGAUCUUUAACCUCUCUCUGAAUGGAACUGUUGAUUCUCUUGUGAAUCCUUUUACUUUCUCCAUUUCAUCUUCCAUGAAUCUCUGCAAAAACCAUAUCUCUCUGUAAAGAAACAUAACAAGUUUUUUAUAAAAGAGCUAUAGGAUCUAUCAUCAUCAUACCUUGAUGGUUUCUUUAAAGUGAGAUGAGAUUUCUUUGUGAUAGUUCUCAUUGCGUUUGAAGUACAAUACUAAGCUAAGUCCUUCACCAUCAUAGUCACCAAACAUAGAGGUUGGAUACAUUGGAAGCUGGAUGUUCACUAUCAAAAGAUUGGGGAUAUCGCAGACUUGUGAUGAUGCCGGUUUCAAAUUAGGAAGCUCAAUGUGUUGAGCAAUGUGGUUGAUCUUUUUAGGACAUGCAAAAAGGUCGACUCCAAUUGGUAUGUAAGGACUACAAUUUGGUGCAGGACACUUUUGCUUGUCUCUGCAGAUGAUUUUAAACAAUACAAUUAGAUUUGAUUACAUACAAAGAAUGUUUGUCUUACUUUCUUGAUAUGAAAAUUUGAAUCCUAACCUGAAGAAAUUCAAUCCACGGAGCUUGAAACUCGACGGAGAAACUUCUGACCAACUUCCUUGACUGGUCAUCUUCUCUCCUAAAGAACGUUGAAUCAUAGAACCGGCUUUUGGACGGUACAAGAGCUUCUCAGCUGAAGCUGAUACACAUUUAGAGAUAAAAUCAUUCAGAAAGAAAGUUAUAAAGAUUCAAAACUUAUAAAGACUUUUUGAUCAUUUCUUUCUUCUUACAGAAUUCAGAUGGUGUUGAUUUGCUAUCAAUAGAUGUUCUUCUCACAGAAACCAUAACAACUUUUGAUGAUUUCUUUCUGUGAUCUUGAUGAUCUUCACAAGUAGUAGUCUUGAAGGUUUCAUGGUGAGAUUCAUCAGCCACUUGGUUUCUCUUUAUACUAACCUCAUUCUUGCUCGAGUAAGUCUCACCUUUGUUUCCAUCUAUUUUCAGGUAACUUUCGUAGAAUUCUUCAUACUGAAUCACUUGUCCCAUUGCAGAAGCAUUUGCAUCUACAAAAAAACAAGAUCAUGUUUUCAGACACAAUCAUGCACAAACCAAUGUCUCUAGUUUUAUAUCAAGCAAAAUUUGUUUACCUUCGAAGACACUACUAUUUGAACCAUCAUCAGAAUCAGAAUCGAUGUAGCUAAAGGAAUCAUACCAAGCCUCCUCAUGUGAAAUUCCUAAAACAGAGAAAAAAAUAAUAAUGAGAUUCAAGAAAACACAAUUUAGGAAGAAGAAAAAAACAGAAUCAAGAUAUAGAGAAUGUUGCUUACGGUUUCCAUCGAUUUGGCUGCAGUUCCAUUGAAGCUGAGUUAAAUGGAAGUUAGCAUUAGACAUCUCAGCUCUCUUACACAUCAUCUUGGCUGCACAAUUGUCGAAAUCAAGAUGAACAUAUUCGCUCACCGCAAAAUCCCUAACACUCGCAUUACUCAUGCGUUUCAUAGGAACAUCGGGCAUAGAAGCCGAUAUUUUGGACCGACAUUUGCCAGAUCUGCCGCGUUUCUGCUUCUUCUGUUGAAGCUUGUUACUGAGUUUUCUCUGAGAAGAAACACAGCCACCCAUAUUUUGUUUUGGAGAAUUUCUAACUAUUUCAUUCACCAAACGAAAUCAAAUUUUUGUAAGGAACCUGUAUCAAGACAUAAAACAAGAAUAAGACCAUUACCAAGAUAUACAUGAUCUUGUCUAGAAAUCAAAAAUCAGAUGCCAAAAAAGAUAGACUAUUUUUACCUUACAAUCUUUCAGAGAGGUCACCUGUAAAAAGUUAAGUUUACAUAAAAGAAUGCAUCAACAUUCAUAACAAUGAGAUGUUGUUUCAUGUAUCUUCAAGACCCUUCAUAUAAGAAAAAAAAUCGAAUGAGGUUUAUUUUCUUAAAUUUGUUGCUUACUUGGGUCUGAAAUUUUGAAUACUUAAAUAAACAAAUUAAACAUCGAUAACAUCAAACGCAACAAAUGCAGCCAUUUGAAUUUUUUAUGAAACGUGAAAGAUAAGAAACAAAAUCUUGAAAACACAACCAAGUAUUGUUUUUAACGAAAACUCUAAUCAUUUGUUAACCAUGAAAUCAAGAAAACUAACCAGGAGAAGAAGAAGAACAGAAGAAGGCGAAGAAAGGAGGAAGAAAGAGGAUUCUCUAUGAAAAUCCUCUGUUUCGUCUUUCUUCUGCUCUCUGCCUCUAUUUGUUUCUCUGUCUUUUCGUGUCAAUAACAAUAAUAAAACAGAAACAGAAAGAGAGAGAUCUUCUUAAGAGAAAUAUUAAGAACCGCACCACUGUUUUCUUUAGUAACCCGUUUUCUUCGGAUCAUUCCCAAAAGUCUUCUCCCCCGUUAAAUUCUCUCUCUUUAAUUUCUCUGUUUUUAAUUACUAAUAUUUUAUUUUGUCCAUUUUAAUGAUUAUUAUUAUUACAGAGAAACAGUAAAUUAGUGUUAUUGGGGAUGUGAUUGACCCAUCAAGUUCGCGGGGUAAAGAAGAAACAGCGUUUUAAUUACAGAACAGACGAGUUAUUUACUUCACGUGUCGCCAUUUAUGGGAAACAAUCUUCUUAUUUUCUUAACCUCUUUAAUACCUUGUCUUGUGUCUUCUUCGUCCUCAUCAAUGUUAAAUCCAUUCAUUUACAAAACAUGUUUACCCUAUCUUCCAACAUAAAACAAA
rnacentral:lncRNA from 1 species